GACGAACGCUGGCGGCGUGCUUAACACAUGCAAGUCGAACGGUAAGGCCCUUCGGGGUACACGAGUGGCGAACGGGUGAGUAACACGUGGGUGAUCUGCCCUGCACUUCGGGAUAAGCCUGGGAAACUGGGUCUAAUACCGGAUAGGACUCCGGACUGCAUGGUCUGGGGUGGAAAGCUUUUGCGGUGUGGGAUGGGCCCGCGGCCUAUCAGCUUGUUGGUGGGGUGAUGGCCUAACAAGGCGACGACGGGUAGCCAGCCUGAGAGGGUGACCGGCCACACGGGGACUGAGAUACGGCCCAGACUCCUACGGGAGGCAGCAGUGGGGAAUAUUGCACAAUGGGCGCAAGGCUGAUGCAGCGACGCCGCGUGAGGGAUGACGGCCUUCGGGUUGUAAACCUCUUUCAGCAUCGACGAAGCGAAAGUGACGGUAGGUGCAGAAGAAGGACCGGCCAACUACGUGCCAGCAGCCGCAGUAA
rnacentral:rRNA from 1 species